rnacentral:rRNA from 1 species
GUUCAAACAUAAAAGGUGGCUUCGGCUACCACUUACAGAUGGACCCGCGGCGCAUUAGCUAGUUGGUGAGGUAACGGCUCACCAAGGCAACGAUGCGUAGCCGACCUGAGAGGGUGAUCGGCCACACUGGGACUGAGACACGGCCCAGACUCCUACGGGAGGCAGCAGUAGGGAAUCUUCCGCAAUGGACGAAAGUCUGACGGAGCAACGCCGCGUGAGUGAUGAAGGUUUUCGGAUCGUAAAGCUCUGUUGUUAGGGAAGAACAAGUACCGUUCGAAUAGGGCGGUACCUUGACGGUACCUAACCAGAAAGCCACGGCUAACUACGUGCCAGCAGCCGCGGUAAUACGUAGGUGGCAAGCGUUGUCCGGAAUUAUUGGGCGUAAAGGGCUCGCAGGCGGUUUCUUAAGUCUGAUGUGAAAGCCCCCGGCUCAACCGGGGAGGGUCAUUGGAAACUGGGGAACUUGAGUGCAGAAGAGGAGAGUGGAAUUCCACGUGUAGCGGUGAAAUGCGUAGAGAUGUGGAGGAACACCAGUGGCGAAGGCGACUCUCUGGUCUGUAACUGACGCUGAGGAGCGAAAGCGU